rnacentral:rRNA from 1 species
AGGACAAACGCUGGCGGGGUGCAUGAGACAUGCAAGUCGAACGAGGUGCCAUCGGGCUUGCUCGAUGGUUACCGAGUGGCGGACGGCUGAGUAACACGUAGGUGACCUACCCGGAAGUGGGGAAUAACUGCCCGAAAGGGUGGCUAAUACCGCAUGUGGUCGGCGAUUCAUUUCGCCGUCUAAAGGAGAAAUCCGCUUCCGGCGGGCCUGCGUCCGAUUAGCUAGUUGGUGGGUAACGGCUCACCAAGGCGACGAUCGGUAGCGUGGUCUGAGAGGAUGAUCAGCCAGACUGGGACUGACGAACGGCCCAGACUCCGUACGGGAGGCGAGCGAGGUCGGGAAGUUUUCGACCCAAUCGGAACGAAAGUACUGAGGCAGCAACCGUCCGCGUGGAGGAGUGAAGGCUACGUCGGUU